rnacentral:lncRNA from 1 species
CGGUUUUCGGUUUUUGGAAUGAGUUGGUUGUUUUGUUGUUUGUAAUUUUUGUGAUUUGAUCCAGAAAUAGCCUAUAGGAGCUGUGGUGAUGAAAUUUUCGAACACAAAAGAGAAAGACAUGGAAGCAGUAAUCAAAGACUGGCUGAAGUCUUCAAAAACUCGGUUUACCAGCAAAGAGAAAUCUAAGUACGAAAUGUUCAAACACCGGAUCCUGCAGGAAAAUCUGAAUGCUUCAAAAAUUGAGAUUGAAUUGAGGUGCAGUAACGUAAACCAGUAUGUAGCUCAAAAAAUUGCUACUUUAAACAGGAAGAGAUUAAAGUAUUCUGGAG